AACAUGCUAUUCUCGAAGACUAAGCCAUGCACGUGCCAAGUUCAUACGAUCUUAUCGUGAGACUGCGGACGGCUCAGUAUAUCAGUGAUUAUCUGUUUGAUUGUCUUGCCCAUUGGAUAACCGUGGGAAAUCUAGAGCUAAUACAUGCAGUUUAUUGGCGUAGUUGAAAGACUAUGUCAAAGCAUUUAUUAGACUUAACCAACUACUAUACGCAAGUAUGGUAAGGCGAAUCUAGAUAACUUUGCUGAUCGUAUGGCCCUGUGCCGACGACGUUUCAAUUGAGUUUCUGCCCUAUCAAUUUGUUGGUAAGGUAUUGGCUUACCAAGGUUGCAACGGGUAACGGGGAAUCAGGGUUCGAUUCCGGAGAGGGAGCCUGAGAAACGGCUACCACAUCCAAGGAAGGCAGCAGGCGCGCAAAUUACCCAAUCUAGACAGUAGGAGGUGGUGAAGAGAAGUACUUAGUGGUGGCCUUAAUGGUCCCAACUAGGAAUGAACGUAAUUUAAGCAAUUCGAUGAGUAACUACUGGAGGGCAAGUCCUGGUGCCAGCAGCCGCGGUAAUUCCAGCUCUAGUGGCGUGAUUUAAAGUUGCUGCGUUUAAAACGCUCGUAGUUGGAUCAUGCAAUAACAUGUAGUAACACUGGUUGGUAAAUUUGACGAUUCUCUUCUUGAUUAUUGGAUAAUUAUCGACCAGUGUGUUCAUGCUACAUGUUAUUAUUUGCACACAAGUAUGAUAUUUGGGCUUAAGUGAUUCGAGUAUCAUGUCUUGUGGAGUGUGCCUUGAAUAAAACAGAGUGCUCAAAGCAGGCGAACGCUUGAAUGUUGUAGCAUGGAACGAACAAACGUGUACUUGUGUAUAUUUGAACGGUCGGUGGCAACACUGACUGUUUGGGUAUAUGCAGCACCCGCCGAAAUGCGAAUGUUGGUUUUCGUAUAAGGUGAUGAUUAAAAGAAGCGGUUGGGGGCAUUGGUAUUUGGCCGCGAGAGGUGAAAUUCUUGGACCGGCCAAGGACUAACAGAUGCGAAGGCGUUUGUCUAGACCGUUUUCAUUAAUCAAGAACGAAAGUGGGAGGUUCGAAGACGAUCAGAUACCGUCCUAGUUCCCACUAUAAACUAUGCCGACCUGGGAUCAGUUUAGUGAUUAACAAGCUCUAGGUUGGUCCCCCUGGGAAACCUCAAGUUUUUCGGUUACGGGGAGAGUAUGGUCGCAAGUCUGAAACUUAAAGGAAUUGACGGAAGGGCACCACCAGGGGUGGAACCUGCGGCUUAAUUUGACUCAACACGGGGAAACUUACCUGGUCCGGACAUCGAAAGGAUAGACAGACUGAUAGAUCUUUCUUGAUGCGGUGAGUGGUGGUGCAUGGCCGUUCUUAGUUCGUGGAGUGAUCUGUCAGGUUAAUUCCGGUAACGAACGAGACCACAAUCUUCAUUUGAGAAAUAGUAGUAGGGAGUUGGCUCAGUGGUGUUUCGGCAGCUCUGGGUUGGCUUUCGUAGGUAGAAUUAUUGAAUUUCAUAAAAGUAGCAUUCUGGGCUCGCUCAGGGUGUAAUGUUUAUGAAAGGAUAUGGUUUUCCCUACUGUUAUGCAGUGUUAGGCAAAACCUUUACGCUGCCUCAUGGAGAGACAACAGGUUUAUAAAAGCCUGAGGAAGUGUGGCUAUAACAGGUCAGUGAUGCCCUUCGAUGUUCAGGGCUGCACGCGCGUUACAAUGAUAACAGCAGCGAGUAUCUGGGUCGAAAGACUUGGGUAAUCUUUAAUUGUUAUCGUGAUGGGGAUUGACGGUUGUAAAUCCGUCAUGAAAUAGGAAUCCCUAGUAUGUGCAAUUUAUUAAAUUGCGCAGAUUUAGUCCCUGCCCUUUGUACACACCGCCCGUCGCUACUACCGAGUGAAUUAUGUCAUGAUGCUCUGGGACUGGACGCUGAACGGGGGUUAAAGCCUGUUCGGUGCUAGAAUCAGCGUAAAAUGGCGCAAUUUCGAGGAAGUAAAAGUCGUAACAAGGC
rnacentral:rRNA from 2 species